rnacentral:rRNA from 1 species
GACGUAGGAGACGAGCGUUGUCCGGAUUUACUGGGCGUAAAGCGCGCGCAGGCGGCCCCGCAGGUCGGUUGUGAAAGCCCCCGGCUCAACCGGGCGGAGGCGAGCGAAACCGCGGGGCUGGAGGCUGGCAGAGGGUGGUGGAAUUCCCGGUGUAGUGGUGAAAUGCGUAGAGAUCCGGAAGAACACCGGUGGCGAAGGCGGCCUGCUGGGCUAUGGCUGACACUGAGGCGCGGACAGCGUGGGGAGCAAACAGG